UGACAGAACAAGGUCUGAUUCUGCCA
rnacentral:piRNA from 1 species